rnacentral:antisense_RNA from 2 species
UGCUAUGGCGGCUGUGUGUGGGACGCCCUAGGGCGUGCCGGUUGCUGUUCCGGUUGACCAACCCGCAUACAGUCCGCCACCUAU